UCGCUGUUUUGGAGGCGAUUGGAAGCGGCAGACAAUCACAAAAAUGUUUGUUCUUCUUGACUAAACGUUAAACUUCACACAGCAGAUCCUGCUGCUGAUCAGCUAUGUGAGUGAAUAAGAGAAAGGGAAGUCUCACCACUUGUUGAGUCCACCUUCUUUUCCUCGGACUAACGGGAAUCCAAGGUUCGAAAUGUAUUCUCGCCAACCAACUCAAGGUCUACUUACUAGCUUUUGUGGGAGCUUUCAACUAAACAACAUGUCCUUGUAGGCGCGAUGGCGUCCCCCUUUUUCCUCGGCCUAACGGGAUUAGUCGUGCCAGUGCUACCCCGGCUGUCACGGUACUGUCUACUUCCCAUCUCUCUUCUGGGCCUCUAAUGUGAUUAACCCAUUCCCUG